UUAUGAACAAGAAAGGACUACUGCUAUUCGUGCACUAUUGCAUCGAUAGGGUGACCGAAGAGGUAGAGGCAUUUGGUGAAGGCUUCGACAAAUAUAAUUUUUUGUCUUUUCUGCGAUCAAUGCCCUUCGAUGAAGCUCGCCUACUGUUUGCAGAGAACAAUUCACAAAUUGAAAACCGUGAAACAUUUCUGGUACAAUAUGUCAUAUCGGAGGAUGUGAAGCAAACUAAAGUUUAUGGAUAUCUGCUAGAAUAUUUGAGGUUGUCACUCCUCCGCCACAUCCUCCAUUGAUACACUGGAUUAAAGCUUUGCUUUGGCACUGAAUUAUCUAUACGUUUCUUUUUUAUUUGUUUUGUUCGAUCAGUGACAUUGUUACGUGUGAAAAAAGCUUGAUAAUAAUUGAGGUAGGUAUAGAAUAUGGCCUAUGAGACAUCGCGUGUAUUGCAGGUAUGUUAAUGUGCAAUUUAUAAGGAGUAUUCUAAUAAAUAAAAUUUAGUUAUCAUUGCACAACACAAUGAAUAAACCCGUUCAAAAUAAAAAUUUACUCUCGAAGUUGUUGCCUAUCACAUACUAUUAGAUUGAUGAUGAUCGUGAGAAAAUAAUUCUUUUUCUGGGGUACUUGUGAGGAAAAUCAUAGAUAUUGGCGUUUGUGCCUGAAAAUAUUAUGAAAAGUGGUUACAGAGUCGUGACAGCAUCUGAAACAUUUUAUCAAGUUUAAAAGUUAUUUCAAUCAAGUAAUUGUAAUUUUUAAUAAAGUUAACUAUAGCUUUCCAAUUUGCUUUUUCAAGAUUUUCAUUCUUUAAUUUCAAUAUUCAUUGACUAAUUGAAUUUAUUGGACUGCACACAAGUUGGUGUGUUAGUUCUCCUGGGUGCCAGUAAUUUUAGAAAGAUGCACGAAGCACUUCCAUCUUACGAGGUUUGAGUUACGUCGGCGGAGCUUCAGCCUCUCCAAUUAAACCGAACAAUUGAAUGAAAAUUGGAGAGAGAAUCUGAAAAGACGUAGUUCACCUCAAGAUGGAGAUGAUGUCAUUAUUCUUUACGAAACUAAUGGUUUCCUGAGUAAUGCGCUGAUUUCAGAGAUCAAGCACAACUGGAGAAGAAUCGUGGAAUUUGCCGCCGAGAAGCUUAAUCGAGUGAUCCUCGCCGAAGUUCCCUCUAUCUUGUCCUUCACUAGAGACGAUAAAAGAGGUUAGGGCUGAAUUUAAAGACUGGAUGAAGACGAUCGGUUCGCUAUAUAAGCGGUGUAUUUUAGUGGCGGAAACUUUUGUCUCUUUUGUGGAAAAGAGAACAGAGUCUCUGAAAAU
rnacentral:lncRNA from 1 species